ACGUUGAUUCAAUAAAUGAGGGAUUGAAAAAAUGUGCCCAAAAUAACUCGUUUUAUGCUAACGUGUAACAUUUCAUGUAAACUUCAACGUCAUUUCAAGAAUGAGAAACAUCGAUGAUUCACGUACCUUCAAACGAGAGGCAAAAACGUUCUCCACUUCAGAAAAAAAAAACGAAAUGAAAAAUUCUUUAUCACCAAAGAAAAAUUCAAACACGAAGGGAAAACCAUCAGAAAAAAGGAUCAUUGCAUCAGGAAAUCUCAGACGACCGUCGUGAGAAAUUGUAAAUCCGAAUUCAUCACAUGGUUUUCAAGAAGAACAAGAAGAAUCAAAAUUGAAUUGAAGAAACAACAACAAACAUUAAAGUACCGAAUAGAAUCCUGAGCGGCAUAUCAUAGUUCCAAUCCUUCGGAUUUCGAUUGAGAGAGAAAACUGUGGAGAACGAUUCAGGGAAGGAAUUUAAAGGGGAGGGAAUGCAU
rnacentral:lncRNA from 1 species